ACUACGGUGAGCAGCAGUGGGGCAUAUUGGGCAAUGGGCGCAAGCCUGACCCAGCAAUGCCGCGUGAAGGAAGAAGGCUUUCGGGUUGUAAACUUCUUUGACAGGGGAAGAGCAGAAGACGGUACCCUGAAAACAAGCCACGGCUAACUACGUGCCAGCAGCCGCGGUACUACGUAGGUGGCAAGCGUUUUCCGGAUGUACUGGGUGUAAAGGGCGUGUAGCCGGGAAGGCAAGUCAGAUGUGAAAGCCGGAGGCUCAACCUCCGAAUUGCAUUUGAAACUGUUUUUCUUGAGUACUGGAGAGGCAGACGGAAUUCCGUGUGUAGCUGUGAAAUGCGUAGAUAUAAGGAGGAACACCAGUGGCGAAGGCGGUCUGCUGGAAAGCAACUGACGGUGAGGCGCGAAAGCGUGGGGAGCAAACAGGAUUAGAUACCCGGGUAGUC
rnacentral:rRNA from 1 species